ACCUUAAUGAUUCUGUUUAAGGCAAUGGAGAAACUUGUGGAGAAGGGACUGGUUCGCAGUAUCGGAAUUAGCAAUUUUAAUAUCAGCCAGGUCGAGCGACUAUUGAACAUGGAAGGACUGAAAAUCAAACCUUCAAACCACCAAAUUGAGAUUCACCCUAUGUUUAACAACAACGACCUCAUUAAAUACAGUCACUGCGUUCUGCCCCCUAGGGGGUAUGUCGGGGAAUAGCGGCAUUGUCAACAACCCUACACUUGGAAGCGGUGGGCAAAAAGUAUGGAAAGUCUGCUGCUCAGGUAGCCUUGAGAUGGGGGAUGCAGAGAGGAUACGCUGUUUUAACGAAGAGUAUGAGAGAAGAGAGGAUAAAGCAUAACUUCCAGUUGUGGGACUUUGAGUUAAGUGACGAGGAUAUGGAUGCUGUCAAUUCUGUCAAUAGUGACAACCGUCAAGUGGGACCUAACAUGUUCACGGGUCAUCGUUUCUGUCCAUUUUAGAUGAGAGGCAUUCGAAGCGUACAACACUGCUACAACCAACAAUGAAUUUAAAGCAAGGUCCUCUUCCACACCACCCGUCAUUAUGAUGCCGUCAC